rnacentral:misc_RNA from 1 species
AACGCACAUUGCGCCCCUUGGUAUUCCAUGGGGCAUGCCUGUUCGAGCGUCAUUUGUACCCUCAAGCUUUGCUUGGUGUUGGGUGUUUGUCCCGCGCUCUUUUGCGCAAGACUCGCCUUAAAUCAAUUGGCAGCCGGCAUGUUAGCCUGGAGCGCAGCACAUUUUGCGCCCCUUGCUUGCUUGUGUUGGCCCCCAUCAAGUCCAUAUAUUUGCUCUUGACCUCGGAUCAGGUAGGGAUACCCGCUGAACUUAA